GGAUUCCCCUAGUAACUGCGAGUGAAGCGGGAAAAGCUCAAAUUUAAAAUCUGGCGGUCUUUGGCCGUCCGAGUUGUAGUCUGGAGAAGUGCUUUCCGCGCUGGACCGUGUAUAAGUCUCUUGGAACAGAGCGUCAUAGAGGGUGAGAAUCCCGUCUUUGACACGGACUACCAGUGCUUUGUGAUGCGCUCUCAAAGAGUCGAGUUGUUUGGGAAUGCAGCUCAAAAUGGGUGGUGAAUUCCAUCUAAAGCUAAAUAUUGGCGAGAGACCGAUAGCGAACAAGUACCGUGAGGGAAAGAUGAAAAGCACUUUGGAAAGAGAGUUAAACAGUACGUGAAAUUGCUGAAAGGGAAACGCUUGAAGUCAGUCGCGUUUGCCGGAACUCAGCCUUCCUUUUGGUUGGUGCACUUUCCGGUAGACGGGCCAGCAUCGAUUUCGACCGUCGGAUAAGGGCUGGGGAAAUGUGGCACCUUUCGGGGUGUGUUAUAGUCCUCAGUCGCAUACGUCGGUUGGGAUCGAGGAUCGCAGCGCGCCGCAAGGCAGGGGUUCCCCCACUUUCGCGCUUAGGAUGCUGGCAUAAUGGCUUUAAACGACCCGUCUUGAAACACGGACCAAGGAGUCUAACAAACCUGCGAGUGUUUGGGUGGAAAACCCGAGCGCGUAAUGAAAGUGAAAG
rnacentral:rRNA from 1 species